UACGGGGGGGGCAAGCGUUGUUCGGAAUUACUGGGCGUAAAGGGCUCGUAGGCGGCCAACUAAGUCGGAUGUGAAAUCCCCAAGCUUAACUUGGGAACUGCAUCCGAUACUGGAUGGCUUGAAUCCGGGAGAGGGAUGCAGAAUUCCAGGUGUAGCGGUGAAAUGCGUAGAUAUCUGGAGGAAUACCGGUGGCGAAGGCGGCAUCCUGGACCGGCAUUGACGCUGAGGAGCGAAAGCCAGGGGAGCAAACGGG
rnacentral:rRNA from 1 species